rnacentral:rRNA from 1 species
CAGCCGCCACGGUAAAACGUAGGUGGCAAGCGUUGUCCGGAAUUAUUGGGCGUAAGGCGCGCGCAGGUGGUUUAAUAAGUCUGAUGUGAAAGCCCACGGCUCAACCGUGGAGGGUCAUUGGAAACUGUUAAACUUGAGUGCAGGAGAGAAAAGUGGAAUUCCUAGUGUAGCGGUGAAAUGCGUAGAGAUUAGGAGGAACACCAGUGGCGAAGGCGGCUUUUUGGCCUGUAACUGACACUGAGGCGCAAAAGCGUGGGGAGCAAACAGGAUUAGAUACCCCAGUAGUCCCUGUCUCUUAUAC